rnacentral:ncRNA from 1 species
UUUCCGUAGGUGAACCUGCGGAAGGAUCAUUAUUGAAUUUCAAGAGAGAUGGUUGUCGCUGGCUUUCAGGAGCAUGUGCACGCCUCUCUUCUUAGUUCUCACAUUCACCUGUGCACCUCUUGUAGACCCGAGACAAACUCUUGUCGAGGAAACUCGGAUGUGAAGGUUGCGGGCCUCUUCGGACGGUCGGCUUCCCUCUAAUCGUUUGACUCGCGCGUCUACGUUUUUACAAACCCUUUUUAAAAAUGUCAACAGAAUGUCAUCAACGGUUCGCCCUAAAAAAGCGAGCUUUAAAUUAUACAACUUUCAACAACGGAUCUCUUGGCUCUCGCAUCGAUGAAGAACGCAGCGAAAUGCGAUAAGUAAUGUGAAUUGCAGAAUUCAGUGAAUCAUCGAAUCUUUGAACGCACCUUGCGCUCCUUGGUAUUCCGAGGAGCAUGCCUGUUUGAGUGUCAUUAAAUUCUCAACCUUCUCCGUCUUUGCUGACGGGGUCGUGCUUGGACGUGGGGGUUUGCGGGCUUCCUCAGAAGUCGGCUCCCCUUAAAUGCAUUAGCGGAACCUUUGUGGACCGUCUAUUGGUGUGAUAAUUAUCUACGCCAUCGACGCGGACGCUGUUAUAUGGGGUUCAGCUUCUAACCAUCCCGCAAGGGAUAACAACUUAAUUGACAUUUUGACCUCAAAUCAGGUAGGACUACCCGCUGAACUUAAGCAUAUCAAUAAGCGGAGGAAAAGAAACUAACAAGGAUUCCCCUAGUAACUGCGAGUGAAGCGGGAAAAGCUCAAAUUUAAAAUCUGGCGGUCCUCGCGGCCGUCCGAGUUGUAAUCUAGAGAAGUGCUAUCCGCGCUGGACCGUGUACAAGUCUCCUGGAAUGGAGCGUCAUAGAGGGUGAGAAUCCCGUCUUUGACACGGACUGCCAGGGCUUUGUGAUGCGCUCUCGAAGAGUCGAGUUGUUUGGGAAUGCAGCUCAAAAUGGGUGGUAAAUUCCAUCUAAAGCUAAAUAUUGGCGAGAGACCGAUAGCGAACAAGUACCGUGAGGGAAAGAUGAAAAGAACUUUGGAAAGAGAGUUAAACAGUACGUGAAAUUGUUGAAAGGGAAACGCUUGAAGUCAGUCGCGUCGUUCAGGGAUCAACCUUGCAUUUUUGCUGGGCGUACUUCCUGUUUGACGGGUCAGCAUCAAUUUUGACCGUCGGAUAAAGGCUUGGGGAAUGUGGCAUCUUCGGAUGUGUUAUAGCCCUGGGUCGCAUACGACGGUUGGGAUUGAGGAACUCAGCACGCCGCAAGGCCGGGUGUUCGCACCACGUACGUGCUUAGGAUGCUGGCAUAAUGGCUUUAAUCGAC